GGGAAUCAUCGAAGAGUUGAAGGAAAAGGGAGAGGAGGGGAAUCCCGGGAAGUAUGCCUGUUUGAGGGUCAGUAUUAAUAAAAAAUCGGUUUAGUUACAAAUUGUGACGUUUCCGGAGUUUGGGCUAUCUUAACAUUUUUGGUUAAGAGGCUUAAAAUUGACCUUUUUUGCGCAUUUUUAAACGUACAUAAAUUUUUUUUAUUCGUCUAUUCUUAAUGCCAAAAUCUUAUUUGUUGCGACACCAUCGUGUGGCUUCGUGUCCCGAACACUUUCAUGAUUUGACCUCAAAUCAGGUAGGAGU
rnacentral:misc_RNA from 1 species